GGCAGCAUAGAGAGCUUGCUCUCUGAUGGCGAGUGGCGAACGGGUGAGUAACAUAUCGAAACGUGCCUAGUAAUGGGGAAUAACUAAUUGAAAGAUUAGCUAAUACCGCAUACGACCUACGGGUGAAAGCAGGGGAUCUUCGGACCUUGCGUUAUUGGAGCGGCCGAUAUCUGAUUAGCUUGUUGGUAGGGUAAAAGCCUACCAAGGCGACGAUCAGUAGCUGGUUUGAGAGGAUGAUCAGCCACACUGGAACUGAGACACGGUCCAGACUCU
rnacentral:rRNA from 1 species